UGAUUCGCUCACCUUGGCCUCCCAAAGUGCUGGUAUUACAGGCAUGAGCCACCACACUCGGCCUGGGAUAUUCUUGAUUAUAACUGUGACAUAUCCCUUUAAUAAAACAAAACAGAACAACAACAACAAAACAGCUGUCUGAAAAGUCUCGAAAUUAAAGAGCUCACUUGGACAGGGAUUUGGACACCAGUUGAAUGGCCCAGCACACCAUAGUUACAUGGGCCACUCGGCCUGUUAGAUCCUUAGGGUAUUUGAAGUCAUGUGGAGAUUUGCAUUUCUGCCUCUGGAUAUCGUGUUAGUAUUCAGCUAGUGUUUGAGGGCCAGGCUCAGAUCCGGGAAAACAAGAGCCCCUGCCCUCACGGCACUUCUCGUGUGUGUGUGUGUGUGUGUGUUAGGAAAAUAGAAAGCAUAAGAUAUUUUUUUCAAUGAGCUGGGAAGAUGGAAAAACAAGCUUAAGAUGUUUACUUCAGAAGAAGGGAAGUGCAAGGAAUACUCAGCUUUGCUGCUGCUGAAGGAGGCCCCUGGCAGAGGCCGUUUCAGAGGUGGGGUCUCUCUGAGAAAGGUGGUAAGAGGGAAAUAGGAUGCCCCAUCUGGUUUGCCAGAGAUGGGGAAAGUUAGUAUCCCCAAAACAGCCUCAGCAUUCUGGCAAAGGCUUCAGAAAACCAGCUAGGGUGUGGGACCUUGUUGGCCGCACCCUAUGUUUUCCUAGAAGGAAAACAUUGCUGGUCUUGAGGACUGUACUGUUCUUCCACUGCUAUAAAGAACUACCUGAGGCUGGGUAAUAAGGAAAAAAAGGUUUAGUCGGCAUACAGUUCUGUGGGCUGUACAGGCUUCUACAUCUGGAGAAACUUACGAUCAGGGUGGAAGGUGAAGGGGAGGCAGGCAUGCCUUCACAUGGCUGGAAGGGGAAGGUGCCAUGCACCUCCAAACAACCAGAUCUCAGGAGAACUGUCACGAGGACAGCACUUGGGGGAUUGUGCUAAACCAUUAGAACCCACCGCCAUGAGUCAAUCGCCUCCCACCAGGGCCCACCUCCAACACGGGGUUACAGUUCAGCAUGAGAUUUGGUUGGGGACACAGUCACACCAUGUCAGGCUUCCCAUUCGUCUCCUGCACGUGCUUCGCAAAUGGUUCUGUCAUUAGUUUUUGUUUUUGUUGAUACAUAAUAUAUGUACAUAUAUUCAGAGUGCAUGUGAUAUCUUGAUUCAUCCCUAUAUUGAUGAAAUCUGGGUACUUGGGAUGUCUUUCACUUGAAACAUUUUCUUUUCCUUGUGCUGGUUAUGUUCAAAUUACUCUCUCCUAGCUGUUUUGAAAUGCACAGUAGAUGACCCACUGCCAUCCCCCUGCUGAUUUGUCAAUAGUAGGUCUUGUGCUCCCAUUAGGCUGUGUGUUUGUGCCCAUUACCAGCCUCUGCCCAUCCUGCUUAUGAGUGGGCUCUGCUGGGCCCUGUUGACCACCUACUCUUGGCCUCCAUGAGAUCUGCUCUCAGCUCCUGCUUAUGAGUGAGAACAUGCGCUGUUUCUUUGCUUGGCUCGUUUGCUUAACGUAAUGUCCUCCAGCUCCAUCCAUGCUGCCGCGGAUGACAGGGCUCUCUGCUGUGUGGUGGAGUAUUGCUCCUGUGUAUGUUCGGGCCACGUUCCCUUCAUCCCCUGUUGACGGGCACUCAGGUGAUUCCAGACCUUGGCUGCUGUGGAUGGUGCUGCAUUGAAGCUGGGAGCAGUCACUGGCUUUAUACUCAGGGGACGUGAGCCAUUUCAUUGUUCUCAAGCAGCCUAUCCCCAAAGCCCUCCGUGGAAUGCCGCAUUCCUUUGUGCCCAUGGCUUCCACUAGGAUGAACCACUGGGAAGGGGCUUUGAGUGAACGCUUGGGUUUCUGUCUUUAAUUGGCACCCGGCUGCACUGACCAAGCGGGGGUCCCAGUGACCCUGGACACUGCCUCACAUAAGGUCUAAAGAUGCAGUUAGGUUCUUUUUUUAACUUAAAAAAAAAA